rnacentral:pre_miRNA from 1 species
AUUUCAAUUGCUGGGUCAUAUGGUAAGUGUAUGUUUAGUUUUUUAAGAAACUGCCAAAUUAUUUUCCAGAGCAGUUGUACAAUGUUAUAUUCCCACUAGCAAU